rnacentral:rRNA from 1 species
AUUGAACGCUGGCGGCAGGCCUAACACAUGCAAGUCGAACGGCAGCACAGAAGAGCUUGCUCCUUGGGUGGCGAGUGGCGGACGGGUGAGUAAUGUCUGGGAAACUGCCCGAUGGAGGGGGAUAACUACUGGAAACGGUAGCUAAUACCGCAUAACGUCGCGAGACCAAAGUGGGGGACCUUCGGGCCUCACACCAUCGGAUGUGCCCAGAUGGGAUUAGCUAGUAGGUGGGGUAAUGGCUCACCUAGGCGACGAUCCCUAGCUGGUCUGAGAGGAUGACCAGCCACACUGGAACUGAGACACGGUCCAGACUCCUACGGGAGGCAGCAGUGGGGAAUAUUGCACAAUGGGCGCAAGCCUGAUGCAGCCAUGCCGCGUGUAUGAAGAAGGCCUUCGGGUUGUAAAGUACUUUCAGCGGGGAGGAAGGCGGUGAGGUUAAUAACCUUGCCGAUUGACGUUACCCGCAGAAGAAGCACCGGCUAACUCCGUGCCAGCCGCCGCCAGUAA